rnacentral:tRNA from 1 species
AAAAUCCGUAGGUUUCGGCCGUGAGGGGUUAACUCCCUCUAUCCCCA